rnacentral:rRNA from 1 species
GACGAACGCUGGCGGCGUGCUUAACACAUGCAAGUCGAACGGAAAGGCCCUGCCUUUGUGGGGUGCUCGAGUGGCGAACGGGUGAGUAACACGUGGGUAACCUGCCCUUGACUUUGGGAUAACUUCAGGAAACUGGGGCUAAUACCGGAUAGGAGCUCCUGCUGCAUGGUGGGGGUUGGAAAGUUUCGGCGGUUGGGGAUGGACUCGCGGCUUAUCAGCUUGUUGGUGGGGUAGUGGCUUACCAAGGCUUUGACGGGUAGCCGGCCUGAGAGGGUGACCGGCCACAUUGGGACUGAGAUACGGCCCAGACUCCUACGGGAGGCAGCAGUGGGGAAUAUUGCACAAUGGGCGGAAGCCUGAUGCAGCAACGCCGCGUGCGGGAUGACGGCCUUCGGGUUGUAAACCGCUUUCGCCUGUGACGAAGCGUGAGUGACGGUAAUGGGUAAAGAAGCACCGGCUAACUACGUG